rnacentral:rRNA from 1 species
CCAGCCCGCUCAGAACUUAAAUGAAUUGACGGGACCCGCACAAGCGGUGGAUCAUGUUGUUUAAUUCGAUGAUACGCGAAGAACCUUACCAGGUCUUGACAUCCCCCGCGAUGCUUUAGAGAUAAAGCGGAGGUAUUCGGGGAGACAGGUGGUGCAUGGUUGUCGUCAGCUCGUGUCGUGAGAUGUUGGGUUAAGUCCCGCAACGAGCGCAACCCCUAUUGCUAGUUACCAUCAUUAAGUUGGGGACUCUAGCGAGACUGCCAGUGAUAAACUGGAGGAAGGUGGGGAUGACGUCAAAUCAUCAUGCCCCUUAUGACCUGGGCUACAAACGUGAUACAAUGGCUGGAACAAAGGGAUGCGAAGCAGUGAUGUGGAGCGAAACCCAUAAAAACAGUCUCAGUUCGGAUUGAAGUCUGCAACUCGACUUCAUGAAGUCGGAAUCGCUAGUAAUCGCGGAUCAGAACGCCGCGGUGAAUACGUCCUCGGGGUUU